rnacentral:rRNA from 1 species
AACGAACGCUGGCGGCAGGCUUAACACAUGCAAGUCGAGCGAGACCUUCGGGUCUAGCGGCGGACGGGUGAGUAACGCGUGGGAACGUGCCCUUCUCUACGGAAUAGCCCCGGGAAACUGGGAGUAAUACCGUAUACGCCCUUUGGGGGAAAUAUUUAUCGGAGAAGGAUCGGCCCGCGUUGGAUUAGGUAGUUGGUGGGGUAAUGGCCCACCAAGCCGACGAUCGAUAGCUGGUUUGAGAGGAUGAUCAGCCACACUGGGACUGAGACACGGCCCAGACUCCUACGGGAGGCAGCAGUGGGGAAUCUUAGACAAUGGGGGCAACCCUGAUCUAGCCAGGCCGCGUGAGUGAUGAAGGCCUGAGGGUUGUAAAGCUCUUUCAGCUGGGAAGAUAAUGACGGUACCAGCAGAAGAAGCCCCGGCUAACUCCGUG